rnacentral:rRNA from 1 species
UACGAAGGGGGCUAGCGUUGCUCGGAAUCACUGGGCGUAAAGGGCGCGUAGGCGGCCCAUUCAAGUCGGAGGUGAAAGCCCAGGGCUCAACCCUGGAAUUGCCCUUCGAUACUGUCUGGCUAGAGACCCGGAAGAGGUAAGUGGAACUGGCGAGUGUAGAGGUGAAAUUCGUAGAUAUUCGCAAGAACACCAGUCGGCGAAAGGCGGC